AUUGAACGCUGGCGGCAUGCCUUACACAUGCAAGUCGAACGGCAGCACGGGUGCUUGCACCUGGUGGCGAGUGGCGAACGGGUGAGUAAUACAUCGGAACAUGUCCUGUAGUGGGGGAUAGCCCGGCGAAAGCCGGAUUAAUACCGCAUACGAUCUACGGAUGAAAGCGGGGGACCUUCGGGCCUCGCGCUAUAGGGUUGGCCGAUGGCUGAUUAGCUAGUUGGUGGGGUAAAGGCCUACCAAGGCGACGAUCAGUAGCUGGUCUGAGAGGACGACCAGCCACACUGGGACUGAGACACGGCCCAGACUCCUACGGGAGGCAGCAGUGGGGAAUUUUGGGCAAUGGGCGAAAGCCUGAUCCAGCAAUGCCGCGUGUGUGAAGAAGGCCUUCGGGUUGUAAAGCACUUUUGUCCGGAAAGAAAUCCUUGGCCCUAAUACGGUCGGGGGAUGACGGUACCGGAAGAAUAAGCACCGGCUAACUACGUG
rnacentral:rRNA from 1 species